GAUGAACGCUGGCGGCGUGCCUAAUACAUGCAAGUAGAACGCUGAAGGAAGGAGCUUGCUCUUUCCGGAUGAGUUGCGAACGGGUGAGUAACGCGUAGGUAACCUGCCUGGUAGCGGGGGAUAACUAUUGGAAACGAUAGCUAAUACCGCAUAACAGUAGAUAUUGCAUGAUAUCUGCUUGAAAGGGGCAAUUGCUCCACUACCAGAUGGACCUGCGUUGUAUUAGCUAGUUGGUGAGGUAACGGCUCACCAAGGCGACGAUACAUAGCCGACCUGAGAGGGUGAUCGGCCACACUGGGACUGAGACACGGCCCAGACUCCUACGGGAGGCAGCAGUAGGGAAUCUUCGGCAAUGGACGGAAGUCUGACCGAGCAACGCCGCGUGAGUGAAGAAGGUUUUCGGAUCGUAAAGCUCUGUUGUAAGAGAAGAACGAGUGUGAGAGUGGAAAGUUCACACUGUGACGUAUCUACCA
rnacentral:rRNA from 1 species